UUCCUCAGGAGGCGACUAAUCAUCGCCACAAGCCGGCUCCUGCCUCUCUCUUUGGAUCUCCGGAGUUGAUCAGCACGUGAACCUCCCCUGCCUAUUCUCCACAGAACCCGCAGCGAAAGGGACGAGAGAAUAAAAGCGGCGGCUGCAAAGCCUCUCCCGAAGAAGAAGAAGAAGCGUCUACUUCCCACCCCUGCGCCGCAUCAGACCCGAGGGGAUCCCUCCCCCUCUCCCCCCCCCGCCCCACACGCACACACGAGCAGAGCCGCCCGGAGAAGCAGCUUGCCGCCCCGUAGUCUCCCUCCCGCCGGAGCUUCACUUCUCCGCCUGCUCCUGCUGCUCCGAUUGCGCCCACCGGGACUCCGACGCGCUUCCAGGGACGCCCUUCGGGCAGGGCCGGCGGAGGGGGAGAGGAGGAGGCGGCAACGGCGCCUGGAAGAGCCCGUCACCCUCGCCGUUCCGUUCCCCUCAGAGUCCCACCGCUCCGGGAGUGGCGAAAGCGCCAGGGAUGCUGAGCGGGAAGCGAGGAAGAAGGAAGCAGCGGGAAGCCUGAAAGAGGCGGCAGAAAUCCGGAGGGGCUCCUGGAAGCGGCCGGGGCGCGCGUCCCUCUCUCCGCCUCGCUUCGGGCUCUGGCCAAGAGAGCCGAGAGUUCCGGGAGGGUCCCGCCUGCCCUGAAGCGCCUCGCCCGCGGGAGGUCACCGGCCCGCCGCCCGCUUCGCCCGGCAGGCUCGCAGAGCGGGGCCCCGAUCUUCCUCACCGCCGCCCUCCUCCCUCUCCAAGGUGUUGGGACCACGGCGGCCGAUCCCCUCCCCUCCCCGCCCGGUGCCCGUCCGCCUCCGCUGCGCCGAGCUUCCCACCGCCAGGAAACCGGGGCUCCCGCCUUGCGCCCUGCCGCCCGCUCCAUGGCGAGGGCAGCACCGGCUGAGUCUCCGCGCCGGGGGAGGCGGCGCCGGCGGGGGAAGCCCGGGGCCCGCUCUCCCCCGCUGCCACUGCCGCUGCUGUGAGGGCUGUAGCGCUGGCGGCGCCCCGGCCGGCGAGGCAGGGGGGCGGCGCGGCGGCGCCAGCAUGAAGUCGCUGAUCUUGAGCCGCUUCCUGGUGCUGCUGCCCUGGGUGCUGCUGGUGAUCCUCAUGCUGGACACGGACGGCGGCAACCGGGCGCCCCGUCCGUCCUCGUCCCACCUCGCCCGGCGGCCGCAGCCCGCGCCUCACCAGGAGGCGCCUCGCCGGCGGGAGGCCGAGCAGCCGCCGCCGCAGCAGCAGCAGCAGCUGCCUCUCAUCUAUGCCAUCACGCCGACCUACAGCCGGCCGGUCCAGAAAGCCGAGCUGACGCGGCUGGCCAACACCUUCCGGCAGGUGGCGCACUUGCAUUGGAUCCUAGUGGAGGACUCGGCGAUCGGCACCGAACUGGUCAGCCGCUUCGCCGCGGGGCUCGACCGACGGGGCGGCCCCCCCUGCACCCACCUGCACGUGCUGACGCCGCGCAGGUACAAGCGCCCGGGCCAGCCCAGGGCCACGGAGCAGCGCAACGCGGGCUUGGCCUGGAUCCGCCAGCGGCACCAGCAUUUGCCGGCCCCGCAGCCGGGGGUGCUUUUCUUCGCCGACGACGACAACACCUACAGCCUGGAGCUCUUCGAGGAGAUGCGUACAACUCGCAAAGUCUCUGUAUGGCCCGUAGGGCUAGUGGGGGGCCGACGCUACGAGCGCCCAAUUGUGGAAAAAGGCAAAGUUGUUGGCUGGUACACUGGUUGGCGGGCAGGUAGGCCUUUUGCCAUUGAUAUGGCAGGCUCUUAUGCUAUGAAGGAUUCUAUAAAUGUCUUUGUCUUCAUUUAAAAUUGUUUUGGGAAGACUGUACUGAAAGACAGGAUAUAAACAAUCAUAAUAACUCUAGAAUUUUCAUUACCUGAAUAUUAACAUGUGCAGCAAAAACAAUUGUCGCAGAUUGUAGCUCAGAUUUCACACAUUAAUUCCUAUAUUAAGUAGGUUGUUCAUAAAUGAAGCCAAACGCCAUCUUGAACUUCCCACUCAGGACUUAACAGGGGAAGAGUUACCCCCUAAGCAUCUGGUACUAAUUCUUGUUAUUUUUUAAAAUUAAUAAGACUAUUAAAGAUAUAUUUAACUCUUAAAGUUUUGAAAGCCAGCUGGUUGCCUUCAGGCUGCCAUUACCCUAUACAUAAAGCUGCAGCUUUAUUUGAAAGAAUGCAGACUACCUACUUGUCUGAAUAAUGGCUGUAAGGAAUUCUGUGCAUAAUGAUAGGAGACUUAAUCAGAAUGCUGAGUCCAAGCAAUACCUUGAAGAUGAUAAAAAGAAAGUAAUGUUCAUCAGUCAGGAGCAACAGAAUAUUAAACAUUUCCCUGAACUAAUUUUUCAUUCUCCUUCCCUUGUCAGUCCAAUCACCUUCCUUCUCUUCCUCCAUAAGCUCUCCCUUUCAUCUUAAAUUGGAAGUAGAAUAAAUACUACUUCAGAAGAACUAGUGAAAAACACCUAUUAAGAGACGAUGCAGUACUAAACUUUGCACACCCAACAUGAUGCUGAGAUGUCGUGCAAGAAAUUGUACAAUGUGUUACUCAGAUGGCAGAACUUUAUAUUUCAAGUUGUUUCUAAUUCAUAACUCUUGUAGAUGGGUUCCAUUACAGCUAACAAAAUGGAUGCAAGAAUAAAAAUAUUGGUGAAUGCAGGCAAUCACUACUUGUGUUCUUGUAUCUUUUAAGGACUUUCUGAUGUCUUAACAGCAAUGUACCUUGUAAAGAUUGUAGUCUUUAGCGAUAAGCUUUUUUAAAAAGCAGCUCCAUACCAAUUUCAAAUUUAAGAACCAACAGAUCCAACAAGGAUCUCAUCAUAUAUGGAUUACUCUGUUUCAAAUGUAAUGUUCUUUCAAAAUAUAUUCAUUUAAAUGGUAUUAAAGUUUGCCAUACUCCUCACAAUUAAAGUCAAAAGCUUUAACCUAAAUAAUGUUAAGGAUAAAAUGCCAUUUUUAUUCUAGAGCUGCACAAAAUUUUCUGGACUAUGGGCUACACUUAUUUCGGGGGAUGGAAGGCAUAUGGUUACUUUUCUAAAAAUACUGGGGCCAAGAGAAAAACUAGAUUUGAUUGCAUUUCAUUUGCAUUUAAAAUCAGUUAAGAUAGAAUAUAGCUAAUGAGAUUAUUUUCAAAUCAUUUAAUACAUUUUUUUUAGUGUCAUUCAAAUGUAUAAUUUGGUUAAGGUCUUAAAGGUUGUGACUCUACAGAGAAGAGAUCAGCAACAGAUCAGCUUUUAUUGAAAGGAAAGGUUAACGAAACCAGAGGUACUCUGUAAUAAACAUUAACCAAAUUACAGAAUAACAGUUGGAAAGGACCUUGGAGGUCUUCUAGUCUAAUCCCCUGCUCAA